rnacentral:misc_RNA from 1 species
GAUGAAGAACGUAGUGAAAUGCGAUAAGUAAUGUGAAUUGCAGAAUUCAGUGAAUCAUCGAAUCUUUGAACGCACAUUGCGCCCGCCAGUAUUCUGGCGGGCAUGCCUGUUCGAGCGUCAUUACAACCCUCAGGCCCCCGGGCCUGGCGUUGGGGAUCGGCGGAAGCCCCCUGCGGGCACAACGCCGUCCCCCAAAUACAGUGGCGGUCCCGCCGCAGCUUCCAUUGCGUAGUAGCUAACACCUCGCAACUGGAGAGCGGCGCGGCCACGCCGUAAAACACCCAACUUCUGAAUGUUGACCUCGAAUCAGGUAGGAAUACCCGCUGAACUUAAGCAUAUCAUAAGCGGAGGA